UUUACCCUGGCCACCAGUAGUCCAUUGUUUGAUGCGCAGACAUACCAGGAAACAUCUUCCCUGCGAAAACAGAGCUUCUCCAUUUCUAUUGGCACAGGAUGUAGUUAAUUGUGCCGGCGAUUUGUUUGUUGGAAGAACAUGUUUGUGGAAUUUCUUUGUGUAUUUUGAUAGAUUUUUAUAUGUACUGUACUGUUUAUAUGUUGAUUUGUGAGAUUUACUUUAUGCAAAUGACUGUACUGUAGGUGUGCAUGAACCCAAACAAAGCACAUUCCACAGCGUCACACAAAGACAUUCACCAGCAGGUUGAAAGACUGGUUUUAUUUCUUUUUAAGAUCUCUUUUAAUCACUGUUACGAGUACAAGUCAAAAUCUCGAUUGGUUUUAUAAUGUUUAACAUUUUCACAGUUUUAGUAGCCGGAGCUGGGGCAGUCGGUGCCCUAGUGGGAGCUACGUUUAUGGUUUGGGCGUUGGGGUUCACCUCUGCUGGUAUCGCUGCAGGAUCCUUCGCCGCAUAUUUGAUGUCGGCAGCAGCGAUUGCUAAUGGAGGUGGUGUAGCGGCAGGAACUCUUGUUUCUUUCUUCCAGUCAAUAGGGGCAGCUGGACUUUCUCUUACCGGUCAGAUUAUUUUGGCGACUACUGGAGCAGUCGUUACUGUAGUAAUUAAAUGCUUAACUAUUUUGUUUUAAGUACAAAAAAACUGUUUUGUUUUAAGUACAAAAAAAAACACUUUCUGUUGUUUUCUUUUACUUGUUUUCACAUACA